rnacentral:rRNA from 1 species
GGUCAUAGUGAUCCGGUGGUUCUGAAUGGAAGGGCCAUCGCUCAACGGAUAAAAGGUACUCCGGGGAUAACAGGCUGAUACCGCCCAAGAGUUCAUAUCGACGGCGGUGUUUGGCACCUCGAUGUCGGCUCAUCACAUCCUGGGGCUGAAGUAGGUCCCAAGGGUAUGGCUGUUCGCCAUUUAAAGUGGUACGCGAGCUGGGUUUAGAACGUCGUGAGACAGUUCGGUCCCUAUCUGCCGUGGGCGCUGGAGAACUGAGGGGGGCUGCUCCUAGUACGAGAGGACCGGAGUGGACGCAUCACUGGUGUUCGGGUUGUCAUGCCAAUGGCACUGCCCGGUAGCUAAAUGCGGAAGAGAUAAGUGCUGAAAGCAUCUAAGCACGAAACUUGCCCCGAGAUGAGUUCUCCCUGAGACUUAGAGUCUCCUGAAGGAACGUUGAAGACGACGACGUUGAUAGGCCGGGUGUGUAAGCGCAGCGAUGCGUUGAGCUAACCGGUACUAAUGAACCGUGAGGCUUAACCUUACA